UACAGGGGGUGCAAACGUUGCUCGGAAUUAUUGGGCGUAAAGCGCACGUAGGCGGUUUGUUAUGUCGGAUGUGAAAGCCCUUGGCUCAACUGAGGAAGUGCAUCCGAAACUGGCAAGCUAGAGUAUGUAAGAGGGUCGCGGAAUUCCCGGUGUAGAGGUGAAAUUCGUAGAUAUCGGGAGGAACACCAGUGGCGAAGGCGACUUUCUGGCCUGUUCUUGACGCUGAGGCGCGAAAGCUAGGGGAGCAAACGGG
rnacentral:rRNA from 1 species